rnacentral:rRNA from 1 species
GACGUAGGGCGCGAGCGUUGUCCGGAUUUAUUGGGCGUAAAGAGCUCGUAGGCGGCUUGUCGCGUCGAAUGUGAAAUCUCAGGGCUCAACUCUGACAUUGCAUUCGAUACGGGCAGGCUAGAGUUCGGUAGGGGAGACUGGAAUUCCUGGUGUAGCGGUGAAAUGCGCAGAUAUCAGGGGGAACACCGGGUGGCGAAGGCGGGUCUCUGGGCCGAUCUGGACGCUGAGGAGCGAAAGCGUGGGGAGCGAACAGG